AUCUAAACUAUUAAGGCAGAAGUACAAAUAAUACUUACUCCUUAAAGUUGCACAAAAAUUACAUUCUAAUGCCACUGGAAUUAAAACACAGUAGUUUUAUCUCCUUACUAAACGUGAUUAAACCUACGACAUUGCCCCACAUAAUAACGGCGGCUUUCGUCGAGCUCUCCUCAGCUAUAACACCAGCCUAUAUGAUCCCUGGUGAUCCAAAGCAGCUGGAGAUCCUUACUGUACUUUCUUCGUGGGUCGAAUCUCCUCUCAUCUUACGUCGGAGGAGACUCUUCGUGAGGCUAUGCAUAAAUACGAUAAAGUUAAGAGCUUUCUGCUGGUUAAACACAUUGUGAGGGUGCUUCACGAGGAUAUGCUUUUGUGGAGUAUGAGCCUGAGAAGGAGAUGUGUCGUGCUUACGAGGAUGCUCAUCAUUCAUUUAUUGAUAGUCGAGAGAUUAUUGUUGAUUAUAAGAGGCAACAAUUGAUGCCUUGAUGGAUGAUCAGGAGAUGGACUUGGUGGUAGGAAAGAAUCUGGACAACUUCGUUUUAGAGGAUGAGAAAGACCUUUUUGUGCUCCCUUUGCUCUCCUUCUUUUAGCAUGUUCCAAACAACUAUAACCAGCAGAGAGUAUCCAGCUUCCACCAGAGGGAAUAUUAUAUCACGGACUUAUUGGAGAAAACAAGUAACUAUGCCGGCUAAGCAUAGACUUUGACCCAUGGGUAUACCUUCCUAAUAUAUAUGAACCACAUAUAUAUUUUUGUAAACGUGAGGAAGCUCUAAAACAUUCAAUCUUGGAGAAAACAAGUAACUUUGACGGGUUUGUUAUAAAGCUUGCUCCUUUAUAUGAUCUUGACCAAGCUCUAAGCCUGGCUCAAGUAGCCGUAUGUGAUCUUCAAAGUUCUAGAGCAGACGGUAAUUGUAUUGCUUGUGGACUGUGGUACAAGUUAAAAAAAAAACACAUGAUGGACUCUGAGUCAUUCUUUUCCAAAUAGCCACUGUGUUUUUGUUCUUUACAAAACUAUACUGAAGUUUUUUUCUCAAAAAUUGUGGUACAAUUGUUUUUUUCGGUUA